rnacentral:rRNA from 1 species
AGCAUGCCUAAGAUUAAGCCAUGCAUGUCUAAGUACAAGCCGAUUUAAGGUGAAACCGCGAAUGGCUCAUUAAAUCAGCUAUGAUUCAUUGGAUCUGUACCCACACUUACUUGGAUAACUGUGGUAAUUCUAGAGCUAAUACAUGCACUAAGUCUCUGACCGCAAGGGAAGAGCGCUUUUAUUAGUUCAAAACCGGUCGGGCCUCGGUCCGUCACCCCACCGUGUUGAAUCUGAAUAACUUGUGGCUGAGCGCACGGUCUCCGCACCGACGCCGCCUCUUUCAAGUGUCUGCCUUAUCAGCUUUCAAUUGUAGG